CCUACGGGUGGCUGCAGUGAGGAAUAUUGGUCAAUGGACGCAAGUCUGAACCAGCCAUGCCGCGUGCAGGAAGACGGCUCUAUGUGUUGUAAACUGCUUUUGUAAGAGGGUAAACGCAGAUACGCGUCUCUGUCUGAAAGUAUCGUACGAAUAAGCAUCGGCUAACUCCGUGCCAGCAGCCGCGGUAAUACGGAGGAUUCAAGCGUUAUCCGGAUUUAUUGGGUUUAAAGGGUGCGUAGGCGGUCGGGUAAGUUAGAGGUGAAAUCCCGAGGCUCAACUCCGGAAUUGCCUCUGAUACUGGUCGGCUAGAGAGGAGUUGCGGUAGGCGGAAUGUAUGGUGUAGCGGUGAAAUGCUUAGAGAUCGUACAGAACACCGAUUGCGAAGGCAGCUUACCGAGCUACUUCUGACGUUGAGGCACGAAAGCGUGGGGAGCGAACAGAAUUAGAUACCCUGGUAGUC
rnacentral:rRNA from 1 species